CCUACGGGUGGCAGCAGUGGGGGAUAUUGCACAAUGGGGGAAACCCUGAUGCAGCGACGCCGCGUGGGUGAAGAAGCGCCUCGGCGCGUAAAGCCCUGUCAGCAGGGAAGAAAAUGACGGUACCUGAAGAAUAAGGCCCGGCUAACUACGUGCCAGAAGCCGCGGUAAUACGUAGGGGGCACGCGUUAUCCGGAUUUACUGGGGGUAAAGGGGGCGCAGACGGCGAUGCAAGCCAGGAGUGAAAGCCCGGGGCCCAACCCCGGGACUGCUCUUGGAACUGCGUGGCUAGAGUGCAGGAGGGGCAGGCGGAAUUCCUGGUGUAGCGGUGAAAUGCGUAGAUAUCAGGAGGAACACCGGUGGCGAAGGCGGCCUGCUGGACUGCAACUGACGUUGAGGCCCGAAAGCGUGGGGAGCAAACAGGAUUAGAUACCCGGGUAGUC
rnacentral:rRNA from 1 species